GUUCGAGGUAUUCGAAAAAUUCUAAACUACUUUUUCAGUUCCAUCCGAGCUGUCUAAAUUAAGCACUAGGAGUUCAGAGAGUGAUAGAAGAAGCGAUAUAGAUAGCGCUUCAGAAGGAGAAACUGCUAGGAAGGAAGACAAUAAAACAUUGCGCAUCAAAUUUAAAAUGAUAACAAAAGGUGAAAACCCCACUUAUGAGAUCGUGAAGCCUAGCGAUGAGAGGGAUGAAUUGAACGAAAAAACGCUACCUCGCAAAGAAGCAAAAAAAAGGAAGAACGAAGAAGCCGAGACAGAAAAGGCAAAAAGAAGGAAGACAAAAAAGG